rnacentral:rRNA from 1 species
UACAGAGGUCUCAAGCGUUGUUCGGAUUCAUUGGGCGUAAAGGGUGCGUAGGCGGCGCGGUAAGUCGGGUGUGAAAUUUCGAGGCUUAACUUCGAAACUGCAUUCGAUACUGCCGUGCUUGAGGACUGGAGAGGAGACUGGAAUUUACGGUGUAGCGGUGAAAUGCGUAGAUAUCGUAAGGAAGACCAGUGGCGAAGGCGGGUCUCUGGGCCUUACCUGACGCUGAGGCGCGAAAGCUAGGGGAGCGAACAGG